rnacentral:lncRNA from 1 species
UCCUGAAUUUGAUCCCGGUACCCCAAAAAAAGGUAGGUAUUUUAAUCAUGAUCACCGUUAUUAAUAUUAUAUAUUCUUAGUAGAUUAUAUAUCCCCAGAACAAAAAUUAUGUUAAUUAUAAAUGAAACAGUGCUAGGUUCCUGAAAUUACUUGGAUCACAUCAGCAUGGACUGUAGUGGAGGGGACAAGCUUGCGGCUGACUGGUGUGGAGGCUGAGGACGUUUAUCUGCUGCAGAGCUUGGGAUUUGUGUAGGCUGUGGUCUACCUUCAAGGCUUCAGUAUCCUCAUGAAGCCCAGGCGAGGGCUGGAGCCAGCAAGCAAGGCUAAAUGAGAGGGUGAGGAUGAAUAGGGAAAACCUAGCCGCAGGACAGUGCUAUCCCAAGUCAAGGGAUAGGAAAAUCUAGGCUGCAGGGCCUCAGAGCUGAACAAUUCCUGGGAGUGAGACUAGCAGGAACUCUGCCAACCUUUGGGAUCUUAAAUAAGAGGCAGGGCAUGGGGGAAUGAAGAAAAUGUCCUAGUAUAAUUUGGACUGUAAUUAUCUCCUAAAAGCCUGUAGUUUAAAGGUUUGGCUCCAGAAUGGCACUAUUCGGAAAUUCUGAAACUCAGGAAAAUUAGGACCUAGUGGGAGGUCUUUCGGUAGUUGGAGACAUGUCCUUGAAGGGAAAGUGGGAUCUGGAUCACUUCCUCUUUCUCUUUUGCUUCUUGGGACCGAGGUGAACUCUACAACAUGCACUAAUCAUGAUGUGCUGCCGCAUCCAAACCAAUGGGCCCAACUGAUCAUUGGCUGAAACCCGGAAAACCAUGAGCCAAAACCAACCUUUUCUCUUCAUAAGCUGAUUCUCAGCAGAAAGCUGACUAAGCCCAGGUUGAGUUGGAUCCUCUCAUGUACAGUACAUAGAAUCUUGACAACUGUACAUCAUCUGGAGACUUUAUUAUUUUAGGGACAUUAAGAUGAUCCAGGAAGUGAGAUGUUGCAAGUGACUAACCACAAACUGCAAAACUGGGCGAGUUGGAUG